rnacentral:rRNA from 1 species
CCUACGGGUGGCAGCAGUGGGGAAUAUUGCACAAUGGGGGAAACCCUGAUGCAGCGACGCCGCGUGAGUGAAGAAGUACUUCGUUACGUAAAGCCCUAUCAGCAGGGAAGAAAAUGACGGUACCUGAGUAAGAAGCCCCGGCUAACUACGUGCCAGCAGCCGCGGUAAUACGUAGGGGGCAAGCGUUAUCCGGAUUUACUGGGUGUAAAGGGGGCGCAGACGGUGCGCCAAGUCUGGAGUGAAAUGCCGGAGCUUAACCGCGGAACUGCUUUGGAAACUGGCGAACUAGAGUGCGGGAGGGGUAAGCGGAAUUCCUAGUGUAGCGGUGAAAUGCGUAGAUAUUAGGAGGAACACCGGUGGCGAAGGCGGCUUACUGGACCGUAACUGACGUUGAGGCUCGAAAGCGUGGGGAGCAAACAGGAUUAGAUACCCUUGUAGUC